rnacentral:tRNA from 22 species
GGAGGGAUGGCAGAGCGGUUGAAUGCACCGGUCUUGAAAACCGGCGUAGGUUAAUAGCCUACCCAGGGUUCGAAUCCCUGUCCCUCCGCCA